CUUACGCUUUUUGUCUGGCUUAAUUUCGUUCCCGACCCAUCUACUUUUAAAUGAAGUCCUCACAGUUCCCCACGGUAGAACACAACGUUCUGCCUGAAAAAAACCCAAACCUCAGCUCCCUUAGAGACUCUUGGUGCAUUUGAGAUUUUACCUGCUUGAAAGAGCCAGGAGGACAAAUCAUAUGGAUCUUCUUCUGUCCUGGUUGCUGUGUCGCACAGACAAUGUCUGUAUCCUGGUAGACAAAUGUGGUAACAUGAGUUGCAGCUGAUGGGAAUUGCCUCAGAUGCACAGGUGAAGGCAGUUGUGGGCUCAAGGCUCCAAUUUUAAGAGUGAAUCCCGACUUCAUUGAACAUAAAUAACACAUCCCUGGUUAUCAUUACAUCUGCAUCUCCAUAGGGGAUGCCCAACUUUAUAGCCACAUUUUAGAACAUGAGAAUUCCUUUUUUCCUUUGAGGGAGGUGCAGGGGAAAGAGGAGACCCCAAAUCAGGUGCUGCCUUGGAACAGGCCUGGCACAGCACCCCAGGUUCACAUUUAAGAGCGGGAGUCAGCCUCCAUCACCUGGUUGGUCAUGGUCUGGUCCUUUAAAGCCUCUGCAAAGCCUAGCAAGCAGCUCCUGCUUUUUCUGGAGCUCGAGAGAAGCUGGGAGCCCUGAUGGCCUUGUGCAGCUGGGCUUCCUGAGAAAAUCUGGGACCUGUGCAAGGAAUACAGAUUCAAACUCACCGUGCCUGUUCCUUGUGGGGAAAAUUGUUCCACCUGCCAAAAACCUCAGGAGUUUCAUCUGAUUUUCAUAUUCUCAAGGAAUGACAGCUGGAGAGACCCACUGAGAAGUGAACAAGGAAGAUGGAAGAGCACUGACAGAAACAAUCCCAUUCCUGACACUGUUUCACUUUGCUAUUCCAAGUUUGUUUUCCAAGUCCCUAACAGCUCAAAUUUUAC